GAUGAACGCUGGCGGCGUGCCUAAUACAUGCAAGUCGAGCGAACGGACGAGAAGCUUGCCUCUCUGAUGUUAGCGGCGGACGGGUGAGUAACACGUGGAUAACCUACCUAUAAGACUGGGAUAACUUCGGGAAACCGGAGCUAAUACCGGAUAAUAUUUUGAACCGCAUGGUUCAAAAGUGAAAGACGGCCUUGCUGUCACUUAUAGAUGGAUCCGCGCUGCAUUAGCUAGUUGGUAAGGUAACGGCUUACCAAGGCAACGAUGCAUAGCCGACCUGAGAGGGUGAUCAGCCACACUGGAACUGAGACACGGUCCAGACUCCUACGGGAGGCAGCAGUAGGGAAUCUUGCGCAAUGGGCGAAAGCCUGACGGAGCAACGCCGCGUGAGUGAUGAAGGUCUUCGGAUCGUAAAACUCUGUUAUUAGGGAAGAACAUAUGUGUAAGUAACUGUGCACAUCUUGACGGUACCUAAUGAGAAAGCCACGGCUAACUACGUG
rnacentral:rRNA from 1 species